rnacentral:tRNA from 1 species
UGCCGGGACCCGGGAUCGAACCAGGGUGGCUAAAUGUUCAGUCUAGUGCUCUCCCAACUGAGCUAUCCCGAC